UACGGGGGGGGCAAGCGUUGUUCGGAAUUACUGGGCGUAAAGGGCUCGUAGGUGGCCAACUCAGUCGGAUGUGAAAUCCCCAGGCUCAACUUGGGAACUGCAUCCGAUACUGGAUGGCUUGAAUCCGGGAGAGGGAUGCAGAAUUCCAGGUGUAGCGGUGAAAUGCGUAGAUAUCAAGAGGAACACCUGCGGCGAAGGCGGGUUGCUGGGCUGACACUGACGCUGAGGCGCGAAAGCUAGGGGAGCGAACGGG
rnacentral:rRNA from 1 species